GACGAACGCUGGCGGCGUGCCUAAUACAUGCAAGUAGAACGCAGUUGCGAACGGGUGAGUAAAGCGUAGGUAACUGCCCCAUUGCGGGGGAUAAAUAACGGAAAAGAUAGCCAAUACCGCAUACUGUGAGAUGGACCUGCGUUGCAUUUGCUAGUUGGUGAGGCAAAGGGUCACCAAGGCGACGAUACAUAGCCGAGCUGGGAGGGUGGUCUGCCACACUGGGACUUGGACACGGCCCAGACUCCUACGGGGGGCAACAGUAGGGGAUCAUCGGCAAUGGACGGAAGUCUGACCGAGCAACGCCGCGUGAGUGAAGAAAGUUUUCGGGUCUUAAAGCUCUGUUGUUAGAGAAGCGUUAACUAACCAGAAAGGGCCGGCUAACUACGUGCCAGCAGCCGCGGUAAUAC
rnacentral:rRNA from 1 species